rnacentral:rRNA from 1 species
ACGCUCUUCCUAAAGAUUAAGCCAUGCAUGCUUCGCCUAGAGAGUUGGUCUCUGAUUCUGCGAACGGCUCCAUAAAACGAUAGCAACGAACCGCUUGAUAAGCCGAAUCAAAGUGGUUGAUAGGUUUAUGGAUAUCUCUGGAAAAUCUAGGGUUAAUACAUGUAACAAACCAGCCAGUGAUCCUGCUGGGCCUCUUCGCGUCUAUGACGUGAACACCCUUCACUCGUAAAGGGAUCACAGAGAAGGUUGGGAGCGUGCAUUACUUAGUUGACAGCCAUUCAAUAUUGAACAAUCGCACGUCGGAACAGGGGGUCCUUCGUUUGGUCGCGAAUCCCCGAGGUGCAAGCGUUCGACUAUCGACCUAUCAACUCGAUUGCAGUGUCACGGACAUGCAAUUGUCGCGACGGGUACGGGGAAUCAGAGUUCGAUUCCGGAGAGUGGGCCUGAGAGAUCGCUCAUACUUCUAAGGAAGGCAGCAGGCGCGCAACGUUCCCAAUGGGCACUGUCCUGAGGGCGUUAUAGGAAGUAUACAUGGUCGCCAAAAUGGCGACUAAUGCAAAUGGAU